rnacentral:rRNA from 1 species
GUCCUAUUGGAUUAUUUAAUAGGUCUGACCUGCCCAGUGAUAAUUUUAACGGCCGCGGUAUAUUGACCGUGCAAAGGUAGCAUAAUCAUUAGUCUUUUAAUAGAAGGCUGGAAUGAAAGGUUUAACGAGAAAUUAACUGUCUCAAUUACAAACUUGAAUUUAUCUUUUGAGUCAAAAGACUUAAAUAUAGUUGAUGGACGAGAAGACCCUAUAGAGCUUUACAGCUUUAUUUUUAAAUAUAUUUAGUACAUAAUAUAUUUUUAUUAAGAAUGUUGUUUUGUUGGGGUGACAAUAAAUAUAUAUUUAACUUUUAUCAUAUAAUUUACAUUAAUUUAUGAUUUGUGGAUCCAAAAUUUUUGAUCAAUAGUCUAAGUUACCUUAGGGAUAACAGCGUAAUCUUCCCUCAGAGUUCAUAUUUACGGGAAGGUUUGCGACCUCGAUGUUGGAUUAAGAUAAUAAUUAGGUGCAGUAGCUUAAUUGAUAGGUCUGUUCGACCUUUAAAUUCUU